rnacentral:rRNA from 1 species
AGCUCCAACAGCGUAUAUUGAAGUUGUUGCAGUUAAAAAGCUCGUAGUUGAAUUCCUGCCAAGGACGACGGGUCCGCCCUCUGGGUGAGCACCACGCUCGACCUGGGCAUCUUCUUGGGAAACGUGGCUGUACUUCAUUGUGCGGCGCGGGGCCCAGGACUUUUACCUUGAGGAAAUUAGAGUGUUUCAAGCAGGCUCACGCCUUGAAUACAUUAGCAUGGAAUAAUACCAUAAGGCUCUUGCUUUAUUUUGUUGGUUUCUAGAGCUUGAGUAAUGAUUAAUAGGGAUAGUUGGGGGCAUUCGUAUUUAACUGUCAGAGGUGAAAUUCUUGGAUUUGUUAAGGACGGACUACUGCGAAAGCAUUUGCCAAGAAUGUUUUCA